GGGGUUUAUGUGUGUUGAGAAACUUGGUGACAUUAUUGGAUGGAGAUUGAAAAGAGAUAGUUGAGCAUUUCUUCAAAUUAGUUUCUUCAAAUUACAAGAGAAGGAUGAAGUAGAUUAAAAAUUGUUUUCUUGGUUUUAGAAUGUGUGUUUGUGCAAUUUAUUUCAAUUUGCCCUGUUAGUAGCAGUAGCUAGCUUGCUAACGUUACCAGCUCCAGUGUGCAGUUUUCGACGCCGACAUUACCUACAAUUUUGUUGACUUUGUUGAAAAACCCCGUUCAUUCUCUGGGGUACACGGAAAAGAUGCGAACUAAAACUGAGAAUUCGUUUCAUGAAUACAGAUGCAACGGUGAGGGCGUUCAAUACCAAUUGGUAUCAGUAUAGCUGGUUACAGGGAGCCUGUCAUCAAGCCGCCUGUGUUGCUAGCCUGCUUUUUUGGGGAAGUCUGAGCCUUUGUCGAAAGCUGAGUCCCCUCCUGUUCACUGAUUAAGAGGUGAUGACUACUCCACUCUUUCUCCUGACAACUUUCUCCUGACAUGAACUGAAGCCACGUCUCAUGUGCCCGUUCAUCCACUGGAACAUUGAGUGUUUCCUCUCCAAGCACUGCGAGAACCUCUAUCCAUUUUCUCUCAUUACUUUUUUUGUCUUCCCAGUCAAAUCCUGUCCUGCACUGAAGUCAAGCCUCUGAACACCAACUCAUGCUUCAUACCCUCAUUCAGUCACUGCUGUGAUCCCUUCCCAACACUAUUAUGAAGAAAACCACAACAAUCCUCUAUUUAUGAUGAAGGUGAAGUAACAUCAUUGUUUCAGUCCUGCUGCCAUGGGUCAACUCUAGUUAUUCCACAUGAAGGCACAGUUAGGAUUGGCUGACACCUUGCAACAUGUAAACAAAGUGAAGCCUUGAAUAUAAAGCAUCUCCAUAAGACUUUAGUUGACUGGUUCAUCCUGAGGUAUGGGCCUGUACGCAGUGAAUGAAUUCUGGCCUCAAUAUGUAAGUGCAUUUUACGUUGUUGACUCAAACAUUUGCUGCUGCUACAAGGGGUUGUGAAGUGUUUUCCCGUGAUGUGAGUCUUCACGGUUCCUGUUUCUGGCAGCAGAGAGAAGAGCUGUAUGUAAUAAAGGUUUCACGUGGGUUU